GAAGGUCUCAGGGACAUGCCUGGGAUCAAACCCGGGUCAGCCACAUGCAAAACAGGCACCCUACCCACUGCACUGUCACCCUAGAUGAAGAAUGCUCCUACUCUUUAGCAUGAAUGAGGCUUGCUAAAAAGCCAGGUGGAACUGCUUGAACCAGACAAAGGUGCCAUUGUUGAAGUCAAAUCAAGGAGCAACUUGGAUAAUAUAUCUCUGUGUGUUUUGAUGCAUAAUGGCAGUGAAAUUCUCAGAGUGAUGCCAAAGAAAAACAUCUCUGAGUGGCAAAAAGCUAAGUAUCCAACCGUGAUUAAAAUUAGUGGCUGCCAUUUCCAGACAGAGGAAUCAAUACUAAUGAAUGUACGAUUUUCCUUCCAGGGAGAAAACAUCAGUUCAGGCCAUGGCAGUGGAAGGUAAGGGGUGUGGAGGAAAGUACAGUCAGCAGCUCAGGGUCUGUAUGGGUCUACUAUAUUCUUCCUGACGUCUGUGCCCUGAUGCACUUUGCAGCUUUCUAAAUGAAUAAUGACAAGCCAGAGACCACUGAAUAAGCUGAAGAUGAGAAACUCAAAGGGGAAUAUUAUUACAAUAUCGUCUCACUAAAGAUCUACUUUUAAAGCUAUACUACGACUGAGUGCUGCCUGGAGCUAUUAUUGUAAAAUUAAUUUGAAAUAGUUGUAAGAGAAACUGUGAUUUAAUUGAAGUUCUUAUUGUAUUUGCCUUGAAAUACUGAACAAAGUUGUAAUUUUUGGUUUAUUUUCAUUAGUCAAUCUAGUAAACACUGAGCAUUAAAAUUGA